AACGAACGUUAGCGGCGCGCCUAACACAUGCAAGUCGAGCGAGAAAGGGCUUCGGCCCCGGUAAAGCGGCGCACGGGUGAGUAACACGUGGGUAACCUGCCCUCCGGGUUGGGGAUAACAUUCCGAAAGGAGCGCUAAUACCGAAUAAGACCACGACCUCGAAAGAGGAUGCGGUCAAAGCUGGCCUCUAUACAUAAGCUAGCGCCUGAGGAUGGGCCCGCGGCGCAUCAUGGUAGUUGGUGAGGUAACGGCUCACCAAGCCGAAGACGCGUAGCUGGUCUGAGAGGAUGAUCAGCCACACUGGAACUGAGACACGGUCCAGACUCCUACGGGAGGCAGCAGUGGGGAAUCUUGCGCAAUGGGCGAAAGCCUGACGCAGCGACGCCGCGUGAGUGAUGAAGGCCUCCGGGUUGUAAAGCUCUGUGGGGAGAGACGAAUAAGUGCGGGCUAAUACUCCGCAUGAUG
rnacentral:rRNA from 1 species